AAAACUUUUCAACAACGGAUCUCUUGGUUCCCGCAUCGAUGAAGAACGCAGCGAAAUGCGAAAAUUUAAUGUGAAUUGCAGAAUUCCGUGAAUCAUCGAGUCUUUGAACGCACAUUGCGCCCUUUGGUAUUCCGAAGGGCAUGCCUGUUCGAGCGUCAUUG
rnacentral:rRNA from 1 species